CUGGCGAGCUACCCGUGCGUCUUUCCUCGCAAAUACUUCACUCUGCCUUGUCUUCCGCCCUACCUUGUUGGAUGAGUACGUGGGAGAAACAGUGUCAAAGAGUGUAGCUGAAGAACCCGGUGAAGGCCGUCUUCCUCAGCAAGAGUACCCCACCACCACCUGGACCUGUGAGGCAAGGCAAGUCAAAGAUGCGCUUCCCAAACGUUGAAGGAAAGAUUGUCUAAUGAAGUUGACUCCUAAUGAAGAGGAAGACUUUCUAGAAAGAGCACCACAGUCAAAUAUCAGUGGCCACCAAAACCAUGAUGGGGGAAAAGUGCCUGUUGAAAGAUGGCAUGAGCUCAUGACUUCAUCUUUGCCUUGAACUGAUGGGUGCAGAUAUGCUGUGACUUGUGUGGACACUGCUAUAGGACUGCUCUUUGCCAUUUCCAUUAGGCAGUCUGACCAAUGAACAGUCCUGCAUACCUUGGAGACUGUGUUCCAUGUAUGAGCAACCACAGGUUAUUUAAAGUGAGUGUGGGACCCAUUUUACAGGCUCUGGAGUGCAGCACUGAGCCAAGUAUAUAGGUAUUUACUGGAAAUUACAUGCUUUGUGCCAUUCACACGAAGCCACAAUGAUUGAACAGUAUAGUGACUUAUUGAAGCAAGACCUCAGAAAGGAAUUCAACUCAGGCUUCCUGAUGGGAUGGAUCAAGAGACUGGACUGUGUUAUGGUUAUUGAAUAAGCAGCCUCAGGCAGGAACACUGGAUCCCAUGGAGGCUUUGCUGCAUUACUCAGCAGCACCCUUUCAACUACAGUUACAAGCAACUGAUCUUCCAUUGAAACC